AAACACGUUUCUGUUGACGAUGCC
rnacentral:siRNA from 1 species